rnacentral:rRNA from 1 species
AUUGAACGCUGGCGGCAUGCUUUACACAUGCAAGUCGAACGGUAACAGGCCGCAAGGUGCUGACGAGUGGCGAACGGGUGAGUAAUGCAUCGGAGCGUGCCCAGUCGUGGGGGAUAACGCAGCGAAAGCUGUGCUAAUACCGCAUACGAUCUGUGGAUGAAAGCGGGGGACCGAAAGGCCUCGCGCGAUUGGAGCGGCCGAUGUCAGAUUAGGUAGUUGGUGGGGUAAAGGCUCACCAAGCCAACGAUCUGUAGCUGGUCUGAGAGGACGACCAGCCACACUGGGACUGAGACACGGCCCAGACUCCUACGGGAGGCAGCAGUGGGGAAUUUUGGACAAUGGGCGCAAGCCUGAUCCAGCAAUGCCGCGUGCAGGAAGAAGGCCUUCGGGUUGUAAACUGCUUUUGUACGGAGCGAAAAGGCUCUCUCUAAUACAGGGGGCUCAUGACGGUACCGUAAGAAUAAGCACCGGCUAACUACGUGCCAGCCGCCGCCGUAAAAC